CUGCUUGCACUUUUUCUACAUGGACGAGGAGAAGUGAUCUCUUUCCUUAGGCAUGUACCAUCUCAAGGUAAGGUAGGCCUGUUUUAAACCCACCUGCUAUCUUUGGCAAGCCAAUUUUCUUCCUUUGCAGACUGAACUAAAUCCAUUGUGACUCGGCCUCUAGGGUAAGGAACAAGAGCGAGGAUAAGAAUACAAGUAAGGGUGGAGAGGAGGACAGCAAGCCAGAAGGGAGCAUGGAUCUUUCAGCACUGAAUUCUCUUGGUAUUUUUCAUUUCUCAGUGUCAACAGCCUGCUUCACAGAUGGCAAAUUACACUUACUUCGGAUAUGAUUCUCAGCACAAUGAAGCAUAUCAGCUGCAUGAACAAACUGAUAUCCUGUUCCUCUCAUACACAGCUCUGCUUCAGUGUAUCCCAGCACAAUUUUUCCUCUGAAAGACAAGAAGGAAAACAAACUGUAGCACUACUGGUGUAUCAAUGUACAGUAUGAACACAGGAAUUAAUCAGUCAGGGCUAAACAUUUCUGCUACAGCAGAGUAUGUCAUCAGUAUUUAC